AGGGCAGAGUAGGCAACGUGUUAUGCUUUGAGGGCCACAGAAGUCUCUGCAUAUAUUUCUUUUGUGAAAACUUCAACGUGUAAAAAUCCCUGGCCAAAGCUCGGUCGGGGAUCAUGGUUUGCAGACCCUUAACAGCAGCUUAGCUGAAAGCUGGUCUCCCAUGCGGUGAGCAGGAGCCUACCUCAUUGCUUCAGCCAGGAAGAUGCUGCCCUGAUGCUGGAAUUUACUUCAAACAAACUUGAAAGCUCUGGCACCGCUGCUCAUUUCCAUACUGUUGCAGGCUAUCUAAAAUACGGAGGAUGCCGUGGCGUUUUGAUUUUGUUACUCCUCUUGAACGGCUCUGAGAUGGCUCAUCGCGAGUUAGACAUUUGCAGAAAUGAUCAAGCAGAGCUGCAGUCAUCUUGCAGAUCAAGUGAAGUUUUUUUCUGAAAACUCGUUACAGGCUUAAAUUUCUGAUCCCAUUCCAUCCACUGAUCUUGUAUGAUUGGUUUCUUUUUGUACCCAUUUGGGUCUAUGAAGCGUCUCCCCACCGUGGUAGAAAUUUAGCUCUGAUUUUGUGCAUGAGUCGGUAUCCUCACUCCUCAUCUGCGAGGAGAAAGCGCUGCAGGUCCUGUGUGGUUUCCAUCCCCUCCCUGCACGCGGAUGGAUUGGGAGGUAUUUGUGGUGUGUGAACUUGCUACCCCCAGAGCCUUCUGCUUCAUUUCCUGGACCGCUUUCCUCCCUCCUCCCUCCUGACUCACUCCCCUGGACCACACUUCUCCCUCCUGGUUCACUCCCUGGGCCGAACUCCACCCUCCUCCCUCCUGGUUCACUGCCCUGGGCCCCCACGCCUCCCUCCUUUUCACUCCCCAGGGCCCCCACUCCUCCCUCCUGGUUCACUCCCCUGGGUCCCCAAUCCUCCCUCUUGGGGGCUUGGUAGUUUCUGCUGUGCUUGUACCAGCACGAUAAGGCUGAGUGGCAGCUCCAGGGCGGUGGCUGCUCACGCAGCUGUGGCAUGAGUGCAGAGAACUGCGGGGAUGCAGCUGCCCUUGCUGUGAUGCUUCGAGUGUCACAGUCGGUAUGGGAAACUAGGUGGGAUGUGGAUGUCCCUGGAAGGGACAGGAGCCUCCCCUCAGCCUCUGUCAAACACUUCUCAGCCAGGCGUGGUGGCUCACGCCUGUAAUCCCAGCACUUUGGGAGGCCGGGGGGGGCAGAUCACCUGAGGUCAGGAGUUGGAGACCAGCUUGGCCAAUGUGGUAAUUUUUGACGCAUUAAGGAUUAAGGAAAAUGACUCACCCUAGUUUACCUUGCUUUUUAAUUGAUGAUUGGUGUACCCCAGUAGUCUGAACUUGUUAAGCAACCAUUCUUACCGAAAGACUAAUCUUUAAAAGUCUCUUCCUCUUGACACGUCUUUGGCUGCUGUAAUCAAAUGCAAUGUAAUCAGCACUGGUUAAUGGCUUUCCUUGUUUGGCUAACAAAUGCUCCUCAAAAACUUUGAUUUCUUGUUAUUUUCAUUUAUAAUUAUGUUUUAAGCCUUCUAAAUUUUCUAGCUUUCCAGCGAGUUGGGAAUAACUGUGAUGGGGGCUUAGUUUGGGAUGUUGACGUACACUCUAUGCCCAGCUACUAUGCCAUUGUGUGAACACUGAUUUCUCACUUUCUCAUGAACACUGAUUUCACCUAGUUUGGUAAAUUCUAUUAAUUUUAAGGAAGGGGGUGGAAUGCAACUGCUGUUAGGAGGCUUUUCUAAGGAUCGAGGAAAUGUUGCCAUGAUUAUUACCAUUACAGAAGGA
rnacentral:lncRNA from 1 species